ACACUUAGGGCCAGUUUUUUGAUCCGUAGUAAAAAAUGGUUUUACCAUUUGUUACAUUAACUAUAGUUAAAUGAAUAACCAUUGGUAAAAUCGUAAAUGCGUUUUUCAAUGCCUUUUUUAACUAUAGUUAAACUUAACAAUUUGUCAAUUUGUUGCCAGUGCAAUGAGCAAUGACAUCCCAAAAAAUGUGGUUCUUUUUUGUGGGGAACAUUUAUUUUGUAUGACAACACUAGACAUAUUGAGUGAAUGAAAUCCAUUUUUGCCAUCUUCAUUCGUUAUUUGCGCUUUGAAGAGUUUGAAGUGUCAACUGUCAAAUUAAUCUAAAUAACACGAUAUAAAGUUGUUUUUCUGUUUUUUAAUACGGUUUACACCUUUUACGAUACUUAAAUAUAUAAAUAACGAUGUCCGCAAACAGCCAACGGUCAAAUAAGGACCAUACUGCUAACUUCGCCAAAAAAGAAACUGCCAAACUGGUGAUGCUUCUCAAGGAUUACACAGUCGUAACCUGC